rnacentral:rRNA from 1 species
AUUGAACGCUGGCGGCAUGCCUUACACAUGCAAGUCGAACGGCAGCACGGGUGCGUGCACCUGGUGGCGAGUGGCGGACGGGUGAGUAAUACAUGGAAACAUGUCCUGUAGUUAGGGGGAGACAGGCGAAAGCCGGAUUCAUAACGCCUACGAUCUACGGGUGAAAGCGGGGGGCGUUCGGGCCUCGCGCGAUAGGGUUGGCCGAUGGCUGAUUAGCUAGUUGGUGGGGUAAAGGCCUACCAAGGCGACGAUCAGUAGAUGGUCUGAGAGGACGACCAGCCACACUGGGACUGAGACACGGCCCAGACUCCUACGGGAGGCAGCAGUGGGGAAUUUUGGACAAUGGGCGAAAGCCUGAUCCAGCAAUGCCGCGUGUGUGAAGAAGGCCUUCGGGUUGUAAAGCACUUUCGUCCGGAAAGAAAUCCUUGGCUCUAAUACAGUCGGGGGAUGACGGUACCGGAAGAAUAAGCACCGGCUAACUACGUG